UACAGAGGGGGCAAGCGUUGUUCGGAAUUACUGGGCGUAAAGGGCGCGUAGGCGGCCUUCUAAGUCGAACGUGAAAUCCCCGGGCUCAACCCGGGAACUGCGUCCGAUACUGGAAGGCUUGAAUCCGGGAGAGGGAUGCGGAAUUCCAGGUGUAGCGGUGAAAUGCGUAGAUAUCUGGAGGAACACCGGUGGCGAAGGCGGCAUCCUGGACCAAUUCUGACACUGAGGAGCGAAAGCGUGGGGAGCAAACAGG
rnacentral:rRNA from 1 species